rnacentral:rRNA from 1 species
CCCUUAGAUGUUCUGGGCCGCACGCGCGCUACACUGAUGCAUUCAACGAGUAAUCUUUGACCUUGGUCGACAGAUCUGGGUAAUCUUUUGAAAUUGCAUCGUGAUGGGGCUUGCGGGUUGCAAUUACCCGCACCAACGAGGAAUUCCUAGUAAACGCAAGUCAUCAACUUGCAUUGAUUACGUCCCUGCCCUUUGUACACACCGCCCGUCGCUCCUACCGAUUGGGUGUGCUGGUGAAAUGUUCGGAUCGGCCGUUUGUCGCGGUUUCCGCGUCAUGUGGCUGAGAAGUUCAUUAAACCCUCCCACCUAGAGGAAGGAGAAGUCGUAACA